CAUAUCAAUAAGCGGAGGAAAAGAAACCAACAGGGAUUGCCCCAGUAACGGCGAGUGAAGCGGCAACAGCUCAAAUUUGAAAUCUGGCCCCCAGGGUCCGAGUUGUAAUUUGUAGAGGAUGCUUUGGGCGAGGUGCCUUCCGAGUUCCCUGGAACGGGACGCCACAGAGGGUGAGAGCCCCGUAUGGUCGGACACCGAGCCUCUGUAAAGCUCCUUCGACGAGUCGAGUAGUUUGGGAAUGCUGCUCAAAAUGGGAGGUAUAUGUCUUCUAAAGCUAAAUAUUGGCCAGAGACCGAUAGCGCACAAGUAGAGUGAUCGAAAGAUGAAAAGCACUUUGAAAAGAGGGUUAAAAAGUACGUGAAAUUGUUGAAAGGGAAGCGCCCAUGACCAGACUUGGGCCCGGUGAAUCAUCCAGCGUUCUCGCCGGUGCACUUUGCCGGGCACAGGCCAGCAUCAGUUUGGGGCGGGGGACAAAGGCUCUGGGAAUGUGGCUCCCCCGGGAGUGUUAUAGCCCACCGCGUAAUACCCUGCGCCGGACUGAGGUACGCGCAUUCGCAAGGAUGCUGGCGUAAUGGUCAUCAGCGACCCGUCUUGAAACACGGACCAAGGAGUCGUCUUCGUAUGCGAGUGUUCGGGUGUCAAACCCCUACGCGGAAUGAAAGUGAACGCAGGUGAGAGCUUCGGCGCAUCAUCGACCGAUCCUGAUGUUCUCGGAUGGAUUUGAGUAAGAGCAUACGGGGCCGGACCCGAAAGAAGGUGAACUAUGCCUGUAUAGGGUGAAGCCAGAGGAAACUCUGGUGGAGGCUCGCAGCGGUUCUGACGUGCGAAUCGAUCGUCAAAUAUGGGCAUGGGGGCGAAAGACUAAUCGAACCUUCUAGUAGCUGGUUU
rnacentral:rRNA from 1 species